rnacentral:lncRNA from 1 species
GCGGAAUUUAACCAGUAUGUGGCCUUCCUCCAGGGACACUCAACUGAACCCUUAACCAACAUUAAGAAGUCUAGCUACACUCCUGGAGUCCAGCUAACAUGGAGAAACCAUACAGAGAGGCCACAUGGAGCGGUGGGGACAUGAGAAUGUGCAGGGAGGGAGAGGAGUCCAGCUGCCUCAUAAUCCUACCGGAGCCCAGGCAUCAGCCAUCUCUGCCAACCUGCAGCACGAGUGAGGACGCGAGUGUGCCACCUGGCAAGUGGAUCCUCUGGCCCCAGUCAAGGAGCUGCAGCUGAUGGUGCAUGGAGCAGAGAGAAACUGCCCUGCUGAGCCCUGCCAA